UCAAUAAUGGAGGAAAAGGGAAUAGGGCGGAGGCUCGUGGAACUCUAUUCACAGACGAGAUAAGUCUUCCUUGUUGAUGAAGCCUGCAACCAUGCUUUCACUCGAGGCCAUUUGAACAGGAAGCCGAUGGUGGAUGAAUGAAAAAGAGGAUAGAGGUUCAUGGAACUUCAUUUUGCAAAGCGAAUGAGACUUUCUCGUUGGUGGAACUUGAAACCAUUUUUUUUUUCUAAAUGUUUGAUGAAUGGAAAACCGAUAACGAAGAUAUAAGGAAGAGGGUAGAGGUUAGUGGAGUUCCACUCACAAAGGGACAAUGGAUGAAUAGGAAGUUGAUGGUGGAGGAGCAAGGUAGAGGGUGGAGGCUCAUAGAACUCCAUUCGCAAAGGGAUAAGACUUCCUCAUCAAUGGAUCUUGCAACCAUGUUUUCUCUUAAAGCCAUAUAAACAGAAAGCAAAUGGUGGAGGAACGAAAAGGCAGAUAAAAGCUUGGAGUUCCAUUCACAAAGGGGAUGGAACUUCCUUAUUAGUGGAACUUAGAACCAUGUAUGCUCUUAGUAUUUGAUGAACGGGAAGCCAAUAGUGGAGGAACGAAUAAGAGGGUAGACGCUAGUGGAGCUCCACUCACAAUGGGGACGAGACUUCCUUGUCAAUGGAACUCGUGAUCGAUGCUUUCUUUUGACAGUGGAUGAAGGGGAAGUCG
rnacentral:lncRNA from 1 species